rnacentral:rRNA from 1 species
AUCGAACGCUGGCGGCAUGCUUAACACAUGCAAGUCGAGCGAGCGGCGGACGGGUGAGUAAUGUCUGGGAAACUGCCUGAUGGAGGGGGAUAACUACUGGAAACGGUAGCUAAUACCGCAUACCCUCAGUUGUGCCCAGAUGGGAUUAGCUAGUAGGUGGGGUAAUGGCUCACCUAGGCGACGAUGCCUAGCUGGUCUGAGAGGAUGACCGGCCACACUGGAACUGAGACACGGUCCAGACUCCUACGGGAGGCAGCAGUGGGGAAUAUUGCACAAUGGGCGCAAGCCUGAUGCAGCCAUGCCGCGUGUGUGAAGAAGGCCUUCGGGUUGUAAAGCACUUUCAGCGGGGAGGCGUUACUCGCAGAAGAAGCACCGGCUAACUCCGUGCCAGCAGCCGCGGUAAUUC